AGCAGAGGGUGUGCAGGGAGCGGGCUGGCGGCGGAAGGGCGCAACGGUCGCUGCGGCCGGGCCCUCUGUGAGCGCUUCCCGCGCUUGAGGGCUCCUCGGCUGCGGAAUAAACGCGCUCGAAGUGCGCGCUGAUGCCCUGGAAAGUUCUAGGAACUCUGGGAGGUUGAUAGAGAGACCUGAGUGCAGUUAUAAGAGAAUCAGGAGAUGGUUAGACAUAAUAGCUCUCAAGGUGCAGCAGAACUGUAACGAAGAGGCAUGUCAGGCCCAAGACAUCUUCCUUGCAAGUGAAACUGAGGAAUCGGUGUUUCCAAAUGUUGUCAGGAGAAGGUGUGGUAUAGUGCAGAACUUGACAAGAACUGCAGAUGCACACUGGGCCUGCUGAAACGCGUGAUAUUAUGUGAGCUAAUUUUCUCCAAAUAAAAAUCGGGUCAGAGUGGGCAAGCAUAAGAGGAAGGACAGAACUUCAGAGGCAUGGAGAAGACCGUGUAUGAUUGUCUUUUACAACAAUUAACACUACAGACAUGUUAAAGUGGCUUGAUUCAGCAACAUGAUGCACUUCAAGUAUUUAAAGAUCUGGUCCUGGAAAAUGCUGAAGAUUGAACUCCCAUUGACCUGAGGGAGCUGAUCAUUUCCUGGGAUGAGCCCUUUCAAAUAAAAUCAAUAGAAAUUUCUGAUUUUUGGGUAGGUGGGGGAGCUAAGUUUAUCUGAUUAUUUCUAUAUCUAGUCUUUUUUUAAUGUAUUGGCCAAUUUCAACAAAUUUUAUAAGUGUAUGGAAAGGAAUAUUUAAGGGCUGACAACCCAGUUUUCUGUCAGGUGCUAUGUAUGUUAAACUCAGCAGCUUGGCUGACAAAUAAUAUCAUGAAAUGGGUAAAAGGUUCUGUCAUGUUGCCUCCAUUAGACACCAUGUUCCCUGGCGGUAGCUCUGUACCAGUGCCUUCCCCUUCUUCCCAUUCACUGACCGGAUUUGUCCCCAUUUGUUGCACAGCACAGUCAUAUGAGUCAAUCUCACAUGCUGAGGAAAAAGCUAUGAUUAACAAAAAUGAUGUUUUUAAGACACACUUUUUGUAAACACAGGAAGUUUUAUAUAUAUAAAAAUACUUUUUGGUCUUAUACCUAAUAAUAUUUCAUAGAAAAUAUGUCCAUGACAGAAUGCAUUUGUUAUUAAAAAGGCAAGUUUGGGGACACUGAAGAUAAAGAUUUUUUUCAGACUGCAGUAAUGAGUGGAAGACUGUUGCAGUUGGGACUAAAUUUCUGCAAAGGUUAAUUGUGGAAAAAGUGGGAAGUUUGGAUUUGGUCCAUCCAAAAGAGGAUUUAUUGGAAGCACAGAGCAUGCCUCAGCCACCUGCAUAUUGGUGAACUUUGUCUUCUGUGGUUUAUAACCACAAAACAGUGCUUUCUGUCUUCUUGUCAGGAAAGAUGCAAUAGCAAAGGUAAUGUUAUAUUGAGGUUUCACUUUGCUCAGACCAAGAUAUUUGUGUAAGUUACAACUCAGCAGAACAUUUGCUACUGUGAUGUUGCUAGAGUUGUAAAUAAUUAAAAAUGAGUUGUGUUCAGCAAAUAAAUAAAGUACAUCUAAUGGAGCAUUA